GUCGAGCGGUAACAGAGAGUAGCUUGCUACUCUGCUGACGAGCGGCGGACGGGUGAGUAAUGCUUGGGAAUAUGCCUUAUGGUGGGGGACAACAGUUGGAAACGACUGCUAAUACCGCAUGAUGUCUACGGACCAAAGUGGGGGACCUUCGGGCCUCACGCCAUAAGAUUAGCCCAAGUGGGAUUAGCUAGUUGGUGAGGUAAUGGCUCACCAAGGCGACGAUCCCUAGCUGGUUUGAGAGGAUGAUCAGCCACACUGGGACUGAGACACGGCCCAGACUCCUACGGGAGGCAGCAGUGGGGAAUAUUGCACAAUGGGCGCAAGCCUGAUGCAGCCAUGCCGCGUGUGUGAAGAAGGCCUUCGGGUUGUAAAGCACUUUCAGUAAGGAGGAAAGGUUAAGUGUUAAUAGCACUUAGCUGUGACGUUACUUACAGAAGAAGCACCGGCUAACUCCGUGCCAGCAGCCGCGGUAAUACGGAGGGUGCGAGCGUUAAUCGGAAUUACUGGGCGUAAAGCGUACGCAGGCGGUUUGUUAAGCGAGAUGUGAAAGCCCCGGGCUCAACCUGGGAACUGCAUUUCGAACUGGCAAACUAGAGUGUGAUAGAGGGUGGUAGAAUUUCAGGUGUAGCGGUGAAAUGCGUAGAGAUCUGAAGGAAUACCGAUGGCGAAGGCAGCCACCUGGGUCAACACUGACGCUCAUGUACGAAAGCGUGGGG
rnacentral:rRNA from 1 species